GGGAAUGUGGCUCAGUGGUAAAGUGCUUGUCUAGCAUGCAUGAGGCCCUAGGUUCGAUUCCUGGUACCA
rnacentral:tRNA from 1 species